AUGUUUAACAAGUGUCUUUAUGAUGUCACAGGCAAAUGUCAAGCGCACAAGAGUUAGCUUGUCUAU